GACUGGAACCCAGUGGACUUCUGGUGAGGAGCAGAAAGGACACGGGUGAGAAGCAAGGAGUGUGCUAAAGAUCCAGCAAAGAGACCUGUGUGGCCAGAGCCAAGAGAAGGAGGGAAAGAGUGAGAGAUAACGUUAGCGAGAGACAAGGCAGACCACCUCAGACCUGGUGGACUGUUGGGAGGCUUUGCUCUUACCCUGAGUGAACUGAACUGGGGAGCUAUGGCAGUGUCUGCAGCACACCAUGGCAUGUCUAACCUAGGUUUCAGAUUAACCUGGGGCUGUGGCAGGGCAUGGAGUCCUAUGGCGGGAAUCCAGUAAGUGCAGAAGGGCAGGGAGGUUGGCGGCUUAGACCAGGUGGUGGCCGUGGAGAGAGUAAGCUUCCACGUGAGUUGUUGAGACUGGCUUCCUCAGGCUUUGCUGGUGGACUACAUGCAGGGUAUGAGAGGAAGAAAAAAUGGAGCUGGGAAAUGGCAACGAUGGAAAAGAGAAUCUAAAAUAAACCAAGUGCACUCGCAAUCUAACACUGGGUCACACGGGAGGAUGCCGCAGGGAUGGGACGGUGUACCGACGCAGCUCCGGAAAAAUAGAUUCAAUGCCCUAGAGAAAAAUGGAUCAGAGAAACUAAAGAUGUCUGAAGACCUGGUACCUGGCUACUCGGCCCUUCUAAAUGCCAUGGCGUAGUGUCCACUGUCCUGUGCCUAAAACCAUCCUGGAAAUGCUGGAAGUCCAAAGUCGGAGUGCCAGCGUCUGUCAAGUUUUGCUGACAGCCUCUCCUUGUCUUGUAGAUGGCCACCUUCUUGCUGAGUCCACGCAGGGCAGAGGGAGGAAGCUUUGAAGUGUCUUCUUCCUGUGAGGGCACUAAUCCCAUCAUGGGGCCUCCACCCUCAGGAUCUUAUCUGCAAAUUACCUCCCAAAGGCCCACC